rnacentral:rRNA from 1 species
CCUACGGACGGCAGCAGUGAGGAAUAUUGGUCAAUGGACGCGAGCCUGAACCAGCCAUGUCGCGUGAAGGAUGACGGCCCUAUGGGUUGUAAACUUCUUUUAUCAAGGCAUAAAGUGAGGCACGUGUGCCUUGUUUUAUGUACUUUAUUAAUAAGGAUCGGCUAACUCCGUGCCAGCAGCCGCGGUAAUACGGAGGAUCCGAGCGUUAUCCGGAUUUAUUGGGUUUAAAGGGUGCGUAGAUGGGUUGUUAAGUCAGUUGUGAAAGUUUGCGGCUCAACCGUCAAAUUGCAAUUGAUACUGGCAGCCUUGAGUACAGUUGAGGUAGGCGGAAUUCGUGGUGUAGCGGUGAAAUGCUUAGAUAUCAUGAAGAACUCCGAUUGCGAAGGCAGCCUACUAAUCUGCCACUGACAUUGAUGCUCGAAAGUGUGGGUAGCAAACAGGAUUAGAUACCCGUGUAGUC